CUACGGAGGGUGCAAGCGUUACUCGGAAUCACUGGGCGUAAAGCGCGCGCAGGCGGUCUUUUAAGUUGGAUGUGAAAGCCUACGGCUCAACCGUAGAACUGCAUCCAAAACUAUUAGACUAGAGUGUGGGAGAGGAAGAUGGAAUUAGUUGUGUAGGGGUAAAAUCCGUAGAGAUAACUAGGAAUACCAAAAGCGAAGGCAAUCUUCUGGAACACUACUGACGCUGAGGCGCGAAAGCGUGGGGAGCAAACAGGAUUAGAAACCCUUGUAGUCC
rnacentral:rRNA from 1 species